rnacentral:rRNA from 1 species
CCUACGGGAGACUGCAGUGAGGAAUAUUGGUCAAUGGGCGUAAGCCUGAACCAGCCAAGUCGCGUGAGGGAUGAAGGUUCUAUGGAUCGUAAACCUCUUUUAUAAGGGAAUAAAGUGUGGGACGUGUCCUGUUUUGUAUGUACCUUAUGAAUAAGGAUCGGCUAACUCCGUGCCAGCAGCCGCGUUAAUACGGAGGAUCCGAGCUUUAUCCGGAUUUAUUGGGUUUAAGGGGUGCGUAGGCGGCCUUGUAAGUCAGCGGUGAAAGUCUGUGGCUCAACCAUAGAAUUGCCGUUGAAACUGGGAGGCUUGAGUAUGUUUGAGGCAGGCGGAAUGCGUGGUGUAGCGGUGAAAUGCUUAGAUAUCACGCAGAACCCCGAUUGCGAAGGCAGCCUGCCAAGCCAUGACUGACGCUGAUGCACGAAAGCGUGGGGAUCAAACAGGAUUAGAUACCCCGGUAGUC